UACGAACCGAGCGAACGUUGUUCGGAAUCACUGGGCUUAAAGGGCGCGUAGGCGGGCGGCCGCGUCCGGGGUGAAAUCCUCCGGCUCAACCGGAGAACGGCCUCGGAUACGGGCGGCCUGGAGGCGGGUAGGGGCAAGCGGAACUGUGGGUGGAGCGGUGAAAUGCGUUGAGAUCCACAGGAACUCCGGUGGCGAAGGCGGCUUGCUGGACCCGAACUGACGCUGAGGCGCGAAAGCCAGGGGAGCGAACGGG
rnacentral:rRNA from 1 species